AGUGAACGCUGGCGGUAGGCCUAACACAUGCAAGUCGAACGGCAGCACAGUAAGAGCUUGCUCUUACGGGUGGCGAGUGGCGGACGGGUGAGGAAUACAUCGGAAUCUACUUUUUCGUGGGGGAUAACGUAGGGAAACUUACGCUAAUACCGCAUACGACCUACGGGUGAAAGCAGGGGAUCUUCGGACCUUGCGCGAUUGAAUGAGCCGAUGUCGGAUUAGCUAGUUGGCGGGGUAAAGGCCCACCAAGGCGACGAUCCGUAGCUGGUCUGAGAGGAUGAUCAGCCACACUGGAACUGGGACACGGACCAGACUCCUACGGGAGGCAGCAGUGGGGAAUAUUGGACAAUGGGCGCAAGCCUGAUCCAGCCAUACUGCGUGGGUGAAGAAGGCCUUCGGGUUGUAAAGCCCUUUUGUUGGGAAAGAAAAGCAGCAGGUUAAUACCCCGCUGUUCUGACGGUACCCAAAGAAUAAGCACCGGCUAACUUCGUG
rnacentral:rRNA from 1 species